rnacentral:rRNA from 1 species
GAUGAACGCUAGCGGCAGGCUUAACACAUGCAAGUCGAGGGUAUAGUUCUUCGGAACUAGAGACCGGCGCACGGGUGCGUAACGCGUAUGCAAUCUACCUUUACAGAGGGAUAGCCCAGAGAAAUUUGGAUUAAUACCUCAUAGUAUUUUCGAAUCGCAUGAUUUGAUUAUUAAAGUUCCAACGGUAAAAGAUGAGUAUGCGUCCCAUUAGUUAGUUGGUAAGGUAACGGCUUACCAAGACUACGAUGGGUAGGGGUCCUGAGAGGGAGAUCCCCCACACUGGUACUGAGACACGGACCAGACUCCUACGGGAGGCAGCAGUGAGGAAUAUUGGACAAUGGGCGCAAGCCUGAUCCAGCCAUGCCGCGUGCAGGAUGACGGUCCUAUGGAUUGUAAACUGCUUUUGUACAGGAAGAAACACCUCUACGUGUAGAGACUUGACGGUACUGUAAGAAUAAGGAUCGGCUAACUCCGUG